rnacentral:rRNA from 1 species
CACUAGUGAUUGAGUUUGAUCAUGGCUCAGGACGAACGCUGGCGGCGUGCCUAAUACAUGCAAGUCGAGCGGACCACUUCUGUGGUCAGCGGCGGACGGGUGAGUAACACGUGGGCAACCUGCCUGUAAGACUGGGAUAACACCGGGAAACCGGUGCUAAUACCGGAUAAUCCUUUCCUUCACAUGAAGGAAAGCUGAAAGACGGUUUCGGCUGUCACUUACAGAUGGGCCCGCGGCGCAUUAGCUAGUUGGUGAGGUAACGGCUCACCAAGGCAACGAUGCGUAGCCGACCUGAGAGGGUGAUCGGCCACACUGGGACUGAGACACGGCCCAGACUCCUACGGGAGGCAGCAGUAGGGAAUCUUCCGCAAUGGACGAAAGUCUGACGGAGCAACGCCGCGUGAGCGAUGAAGGCCUUCGGGUCGUAAAGCUCUGUUGUCAGGGAAGAACAAGUACCGGAGUAACUGCCGGUACCUUGACGGUACCUGACCAGAAAGCCACGGCUAACUACGUGCCAGCAGCCGCGGUAAUACGUAGGUGGCAAGCGUUGUCCGGAAUUAUUGGGCGUA